ACCAUCCUUUUCUUGGGGUAGUGCUACUGUCCAAUGAAUGAGUAGUCAGGGCAGUACUGCUAACGCCUACACAACAUGCCUGCAUCAACUAGAGCUUUGCUUUUCUUUGGUGCAAUUUUUGGAAAA
rnacentral:ncRNA from 1 species